AGUAGUUUUCUGUUGUAUAAUUUUCCAGCUUUUCUUUUCAUUUGUUCACACUUGAUCAGGGGUUUCCACUUCAUGGUGCUGGGGAGCUUUUAAAAAAUACCCUGAGGCCGGGCGCAAUGGCUCACAUCUAUAAUCCCAGCAUUUUGGGAGGCCGAGAUGGGAGGAUUGCUUGAGGCCAGGAGUUCUAGAUCAGCCUGGGCA
rnacentral:lncRNA from 10 species